rnacentral:lncRNA from 1 species
ACUAUGGCAUGGACCCUCAUCCUCGAGCCCCACUACUCAGAGGAGCUGGGAAGAAUUUCCACCCUUCCUAGUGGCAAGUCUCACUGUGAGAGCGGAGUGCCACCAGGCAAACAGGGCAGAAAGACUGCUUUAAGGAGAAUCCUUAUAUUGGGGGUUAUGAAGUGCAAUACACCCUCAUCCUCACGCUAACACUGGUACCAUGUAGCCCAAGCUUGUCUAACCUGCAGCCCGCGGGCUGUGUAUGGCCCAGGACAGCUCUGAAUGUGGCCCAACGCAAAUUUGUAAACUUUCUAAAACAUUAUGAGAUUUUUUUUUCUCAUCAGCUAUCAUCAGUGUGAGUGUAUGUUAUUUGUGACUCAAGACAAUCCUUCUUUUCCAAUGUGGCCCAGAGAAGCCAAAAGACUGGACACCCCUGAUGUGGCCCUUUCAUCCAUAGUAGCCUAUUUUGUCCUAAAGACGGUCUUGUGCAGUGAGUAGGCCAGGCCUCCCCACUACCACAGUUUACAGGCAAGGAAUGUGAUAUUUCAUAGGAUGACCCUGACUGGCACCUACAUUGCUAGCCAAAGAAUGGCACAAAGAUGUGGACAGAAGAGACAACCUUAAGCAGCUGACUGCUGGCUCCUGCAACAGUAUCAUCAUGGCAUUUGUCCUGGGGUCCCAAGGAAAGAAAACAAAUCUGUGGCUGAGGAACAGACUGAGUUGACAAAGCAGCUUCCACAGUAACACAAGGACAAAGGGUGUAUGUAGAUAUGCACGUGGUAGCAGGUUCUACUAAAGGAACCUGGACCGACCAUUCUACAAGAACCAAAGGCAACUGACGUGACUGCUCUCUCCUUGGAAGGACGGCAGGAGCCAUGGCGCUGUGAACUCAAACUUCAGGGAGCUUCAGACCCUCCUGCUUGUGACCAUACCCAUGCCUGGGCUCUUGACUAUUUAAAUGUGUUUUGAAAACAACUCUCAUUAUAGAAAUGAAAAGCCUGAAGCUUUCUCAGCAAAAAAGGUUUAACUGAUGAUACUCUACAAAGAAUAAAUACAUCAAUCUAAUUGAACCAA